ACGGCAAGCAGCCCGCAUCCACCCUCUCGGGCCAUUGCUAGGACUUUGGCUCUGACUCUGCACGAGGUCAGAAAGCACUGGAGACUGGAGCACAGCUGACACUACCAGAUUGAGAUUUUGGCAGGACUGCUUGCUGCUGGAGCGACCGUGCCAAGCACUUCUGUCUCCCUUGUCCCUUCAGACAGCCCACAGAAGAAUUUUUAGACAUAUAUGUGUAUGCAUACUCCUUCACGCAGGUCAUCGGGUUGGCGAUGGAAUCAGACCGUACAGAGUCGCACCGAUGACAACACUGAGGCUCUUAUGUGCGUGGCUCACCCGUGCAUAUCCAGCCAGCAGGGGCCAAGCUCUCCCGACUGAGACUUCUUCCCAGGGGUGAGGUGUGGACAUACCUCAGUGAGACCCAAAAUGUGUCUCUGAGGCCACGUGGCCAUCAUAUCACAUGCCAUCUCGGAAGCUAGGCACAUUAGUGCUGACACCUGUCACUGUCAAGGCACCCAGAAGCCAACUUUUUGUUAGGCAGUCCCACAGUUGUCAUAAAAGACGCAGUUACUCCAAGGUGGUGGGGGGUGGGGGCUUUCUCCUUUAAGGAGGUUACUGGGGAGGCCCUUGGCUCCUUGGGGGGGGCGUUGAGAGAAGAAAAGGACCAAGUCCAGUCUUGUGACCAUCUGAUGUCAUCUCAAAGACAGUGUCAGCCUCUUGGUUCGAUGGGGAGAGGAUGAGAUGGCAUUGAAUUGUGAAAGAAGAAAGUACUUUCUCUAUGCCUGGCUACCUAAAAAAUUGUGUACUUGCCUCUGCUAUUCAGUAGGGGUUCGCAUGGCCAACUUGGAUUGUUUGACUUCACUUCAAAAGAAUGUUUAUGUGAUAACCAAAGCCUUCCACCUACGAAUUCGUCUGCAUCCAUUCGGUCUCCUUCCCACCCAGGCAGGACACUGCUGUGGCCAGGCUUCUGGCAUCUAUCACUGGCCAGCUGCCCUGGGCUGGACCUGCCCCCAGCUCCAGGAAAUGUUGAAUGAAGGGAUGAGGGUAUUGUUGGAGCCCUCACGCUCGAAGACCUGGUGCACUGGAGUUGAAUGAACUUGAGUGAAAAGACAAACAUUUCAAGAGCUGUUUGCUCCUGAGCAAAUCAACUGAAUUCCAAGCCUUAAUUUCCUCGGCUCUGCCUGUACGUCUCAGGAUUCUGGGGAGUAACAUAUGUGAGGUUCCCAGUACAGUGCCUGGCUUCCUGUAGGGGCUUAAAUAUUUCUCACCCUCCCAGCCAAGCAGCAGAGGAAGAGAAGCUGUUUGGUCAGCGGACAGGGCAAUAGAAGCAGGGGUAUAAGGGGGGGGUGGUAGCUGGAAACCCGAGACCCCAGUGUGCUUGGAUUUCUGAAAAUGCUGGCUGCCUGCUCUGUCUUGGAGCAAAGUCGAAUUAGGUGGAUGGCAGUGGGGGUGGCAGACCAAAGGCCUGCCAAGGCCAAGCCCUCCCCGGGGCUGCCAGAAUGGACCGGACGUCAGUGACAUCACAAUCCUGAGGGGUUGCCAAGGCACUGCUGGAGGUGGACCGUCUUAUUUCUCCCCACGGAGCUCUAGGAUGUGGAUGUGAGA
ensembl:lncRNA